ensembl:vault_RNA Vault Vault RNA
GCGCUGGCUUAGCUCAUCGGUUACUUCCAUGUCACUAUUGUAUCAGCGGCGGUGGCCUUCGUGGCUACUGCUGAUCGAACCGCGAGCGCUGUCCAGCGUUUUG